AACUUGUUCGGGGUCAUGCUAGGUACCUUCAGCCAUCAUUAGCAAACAGUGACCGUGUUUAAAUUUCAAGUGAACUUUCAGCACAAUUUCAUAGAUGUUUUUAAAUGAAAGCAAACUACAUAACUUGCCCAAGAAGUCCAAGAAGUUGGCUUUCAAAUGAUGUGACGUCAAAAGCUGUAUUAAGUGCAAGCCCGUUUUCCACAACUUGGCUCUGGCUAAUGUUCGAAGAAGCCUCCAGCACAGAAGGUUUCUUUGAUUUUGCCUGGCUUCUGGGUUCCGACUCUCUCCGACACACUCGGCACAAGUCGGCAUUGCCUCCCAGGACCUUCCAAACCUUUGCGGCUUGUUGGCAGAUGACGUCGUCUCACCCUCAACAAUUUCUCUACCAAAGCGCUGGGGGAUGUUUGUGAGCAGCAUGCCAUCCUUGAUCGCAGUUCAGCAAGUUUUUCCCACACUGGACGGAUUUGCCGCUGACCUUUGCGUUGGACACGGUCAUGGCGUUCAGAGCUCCCAGCAUCAAAAGAACACACAAUAAUUCCAAACCUGCCCCGAAUGAAUAAAUGUCUGGACGUUGCUCUUGAGGACCUCAUCAUUGACUGU